GUGUGGUUAGCAUGCUUGGCUGCAGUACUGAGCAGUGUACCGCAGUCUAUGACGCCACACAGAGUGAAAUUGGUUCCUGCCGACAGGGCCUGUCAAGAGAUCGGGUUUCCUGUGCGAUGGUUCCAUACAGA
ensembl:scaRNA SCARNA14 small Cajal body-specific RNA 14